CUGGAACCACAUAAGCAAGCAACAAGAUGCUUCGCCUCCGCGGUGCCUGUGCUGUCGCGACAUCCGUCGCCUCGGCCGCCUUGCCACGCGUGACGCACCCGAGCGGCGCCUCUUCGCUGCCGUGCAUCCGUGUGGCGAUGAAGACGACGGCUGUUCUUCUGCCCGUGGCACCAUCGAUGGCGUUGGCAGCAACAUGGAACCCUCAGCGCCAGUUCCGCUUUCCCUCUGUGAACCUUCGUACUAGUCCUGUUAGCUGCGGUGCGACGCCGACGCCGACCUUCCUGCGCAGGGCACGGCUCUCCACACCCUCCUUACUCUCUCAGAACGUCAUCCAGUAUCGCUGGAUGCGCGCGAAGAAUCAACAGCAGCAGGACCGCAACGCCGAGGAGACCGGUAAGGAGGGUGAAGAGUCGAACAGCAAGACGGAGGGCGGGGACCAGGGCAGCGAUCAACAGAGUGGCUCCUCCGCGAAGGGCAGCAAGAACAAGAAGGGCGGCAAGGGCCAAGCCAAGAAGAAGAGCCUCAUGGAUCAUGUUCGCGGCCUGCGUGACGACUACGCCAACUUUCCGCACAUCUACAACAGCGUCAACGCCAUCAACUUCGUCGUCUUCACCGUAUUUUGCCUCUGCAGCACCGGUAGCAACACGGAGGAGCGCUGGUGGUUGGAGAAGUGGGGAGUCGACAACAGCGUUCGCCCGUGGACGUGGCUGCUGCACUCCUUCUUGACAAAUAACUUCCUUGCCAUGACGUACGCGAUGAUGCUGCUGCACACCAUGUGCCACCAUGUCCUGCCUACACUGGGCUCCCGCGGACUGAUGAUGUACUGCGGUGGCACCGCCGUCUUCUCAGGCGCGAUUAUGUGGCUGAGCAACUACCUCUACUACGGCAGUACGGCCGCCCCGGAGAAGCAGUUCGGCCCGUGGGACGUGAUUGCUGCGUUGUUUGUAAUGGAGUACCUCUACUACGGUGUGACACCAAUGAGCAUCUUGAGCAGCUUCAGCGGCUGGAUCAAGUACGCGUGCUGGGUGGGUGGGGUGUGCAUCUUGUACUUCGACUGGCAGCCAACGCUCAUCGGCACGCUGGUCGGGCUGGCGUUUUGCAAGGGUGUGCCGCGCUGGCAGGCGGUGAGGCCGACGACUACGGCGGCGUAAAGGCUAACAAAGGCAGAGGGAGCGAGGAAGCGAGGAAGGGACACGAUUGCAGCUAAAGCGCGCCAAGGACGCUUGAUAGGAAGAGAGGGGGGGAGGGGGUGGCGUCAUGGUGUUCAGCGAAGUGUCAAGCAUGGCAGGCGGCUGUUCAGCCACGAAGGAGGAAGGAGGGAGGGAGGUUGUGGAGUACGGUGCAGUCCCCCUCCUCUCCCUGCCUCACCCCCACCCCACCCCAUCCUUCCGCUCCAUGCGCUGAGCAGAUCAAGACGGUGGUGAGCACAACUCUUCACAUCAUUGCCUGCUUCUUUCGUGUUUUCGAACUUCCCCAUCGUGUAUGUAUGCGCAUACGCAUGUGCAUGUGUUGUUGAGCAUCUGUUCGCUUGAUCUGAUCCCGAGUUACCUUGGUGGUGCUGCCGCGGUCACGCCACCGCUGGUGCACACGCAUACGUGCAUACGCAUACGCAGCGUCGCAGCGGCUGUGUGGUUGCCAGUGUGUCUGCCUUUGUUUCGAUUCGCGUGCGGGUGAGGGUGCCUCACUCGCUCGUGUUUCCUCGUCCCUCGUGGCAGAGCAGGGCGGGGGUGGAUGUGGUGUCCGCCUCGCUGCCCUUGUUGUUGCCACCGUCGCAGUCAUUCCUUUGAUGCGCUUCCCUGUUAACU
rnacentral:misc_RNA from 1 species